rnacentral:misc_RNA from 1 species
GGUCUGAUAUCGGCUCCUGGAAGGCCAAGAGUGGCUCCUAACAGCCCACUGGUAUUCGACGUGAGUUUGGAGUUCAUACCUGGCCUUGAAUCCGACGAAGAGUGAUCAUUUUACAAUUUUUUUUCUUGUAUUGUUUUCCCCUUGGCAUGUAUCUAUAAAGCUAAGGAAAGGCUUAUUUCCUUUGCUGUAUACACUCCAGUUUUGCUUCUGUAUUUUAGUUCUUG